rnacentral:lncRNA from 1 species
GAUGCGUUGAGAUGGGAGAGGCGGCAAGAGAGAACUCACGUGAGUAAUCUCAAGAAAUUCCUACUUAGCGCACGCCCUUUAUUUCUUUUGUUUUGUCGCACAACACAAAAGCCUCAAUGCCCUUUCCAGAUAUGGAUUAUCCGUAUUUGAAUCAAAUUCAAAUAUGGAUAGAAAUCUGGAUGAGAGAGAGUCCCAGAUAAGGUGGGGUGCCAACUAUUGGCGCCCUUUUUCCUUCACGGGUGUAAGAAGCAAAAGGGGAAGCGUCUCCACGCGCUCCCUCCCUUUUUUUUGCAUGAG